GCACCAGAAAGGCUGGCCCAUGUCCGUGACCUUAUCCCUAACUCAUGAACAAGCCGUCGCCGCACACCUGCUCUGCCCCUCCGUCUCUCUCUCUCUCUCUCAAAUCCGACGGCGGCACUGGUUUCUCUCCGGUGAGCAUCUCCCUGGCCCCUUGGCCCUACCCACGUACCCGGUGGUCGUGGGCAAUUCGUCUCCACACGCCGGCUCUGCCGUUGGGUCUCUUUUCCCCCAACCUUGACGGCGCCAGGGUUUGUUCUCCGGCGAGAUGUGCUCCUUUGGUGUUGAGGUGCCACGGGAUCCAUGUUUGGGACGUCAGAGCCGAUUCCUGAUGUAUUCCCGUGGAGUCGCGGGAUUUCAUGAGCAUCGCCGAUACCCAGCUGGGCCGCGGCAGCGAGGGCACACAUCUGUGCGGGGACGCCUGCUUAGGUUUGCUCAGAAGCCACCAGCGGCUGGACCAUUAGCGGCUGUCCCCCGUGGAUGAGUUUGCCGAAGCGCGGCAAGGUGGACCAUACAUGUAAUGAAGGGCCCCAAAUCUUCCGGUCGGAUGGAGUCAGGGGCUUCUCUUAGUAUCAUCGAAGCUGAAAUUUGCAACGCUGCUGAGCUUGGAAGCGGUGGGCAAAGUGGUGGAUUCCCCCCUGAAGCCGGUGUGUUCCAAGUUUGCGCUGAAGCUACUAGUGGAUGGACCAUGUAUUUUUGUCAAAUUCUUAACGAUGUCUCUGUCCUAUUGACAACUGUUGCUGUUUCAUAUGGUACUCUCUUGAGAGCAGGAACCUGAUUCAUGUAUGAUUUUGAAAUGGUCAAUCCUUUUCUGGUCUGCACAUUUGUUGGAAUUUUAUGGAGCCAACUCUGUUCACGAAUGAUGCAAUAAUUGAAGAUAUGAAGAAGGCUUACAUGGACGCGCAAGAGAUCGAGGAGUAGAACAAAUAAGCUUUAUGCAAUGGAUAAUUUGCAAGGCAAGGUUCUCCAUGCCUGUAUGUACGUUGCUGCUUUUGGAAUUUGGCAGUUGCUUACUGGUAAUGUUUCAUGAUUGAUGCUGAAUUCCUAGAUGCAUUUUGUAAACAUUUGGAUUUGUCCAGGGGCAUGCCUGUAUGUACUAGAUGUUUACUUGUUUUCACUUAUCUGCAGAAGUGGUAUGUUUCCUGUGAGAUUAAAUUAACUAGGUCCUAAUUAUGUAUUAUGUGAAAUGGUAUAUAUUAAUGGAUGUGUAUUUUCUGGUUACCA